rnacentral:rRNA from 1 species
GUAAUAAAGCAGAUCGCAUGAUCAUCUUUUGAAAGGCGGCGUAAGCUGUCGCUAAGGGAUGGUCCCGCGGUGCAUUAGCUAGUUGGUAAGGUAACGGCUUACCAAGGCGACGAUGCAUAGCCGAGUUGAGAGACUGAUCGGCCACAUUGGGACUGAGACACGGCCCAAACUCCUACGGGAGGCAGCAGUAGGGAAUCUUCCACAAUGGACGCAAGUCUGAUGGAGCAACGCCGCGUGAGUGAAGAAGGUUUUCGGAUCGUAAAGCUCUGUUGUUGGUGAAGAAGGAUAGAGGUAGUAACUGGCCUUUAUUUGACGGUAAUCAACCAGAAAGUCACGGCUAACUACGUGCCAGCAGCCGCGGUAAUACGAUA